rnacentral:ribozyme from 1 species
UAAAAGAAACGAAAGAAAAAGAAAAAGGAAGAACAGAAGAAGAAGAAGAGGUUCGUCCAGAGGGAAGUCUGCAACUGUCUCGUUCCAUCCUCUUUUUCUCUCUCU